rnacentral:lncRNA from 1 species
GAUUGAUGAGGAGGCAAGUUGAGGCAAGUUGCCCAGUGCCAAGGAAUAGGAGAUACAUUUCUGUAACUAGUGGUUGAAUGCAGGACACUUACACACAAAGCAACAGCAAGACUUCCACACACCCCACCAGGUGAUUGAUAAAAGUUUGCCACACUUGAGCACUGGUAUAGCACACCAAACAGCCCCACUUAGGGGGCUGAUCCGGAACGGGGCACUCAAAUCUACCAAAGUCUAUGAAGGGACGCAUUCUUAAAUGUGUAUCUCAACCAGUUGUUUGUUUGUUUGUUUAUAAAUUGAGGAAUUCAGCAUUGGAACCAUGCACUCCUGACAUGCACAAGGCAGAGACUUUCCCGACCUUUCCAGUCAUGCGUUUAGGAAUUUACCUUAUGAGUGUUCCAGUCUUGGUUUGGUAGCUGUAAACUUUCAAAUUCUGCUAGAAAAAUUAUCCUAUGAGAAAUUAAUCUUGUCAGUUAAUGUGCAAGUUAGACAGGGGCUGGGCGGUCAUCUUCUGAGGACUGUCUGCCACAGUUGUCAUGCUCACAUGUGAACAUACAUCCACAUGCAUGUGCAAGUGCACAUAUAAACACACACCCCGGAAAAUUAAGCUUAGGCCAUAACAGAGAUUAUACCAUAUGGUAAACCUGUCACCUCCAAUUUUGAAUUUCAAAGUCCCACCUAAAAGACAACCUUGCUCUUAAUGUAUGUUGGGAACAAACACCAGAUGUUCCUAAUAAUUAGAGUUAUUUUUCUUCUUCUUACUGCUGGGUUCAGUGGUGUUCAUUACAUUAUUUAAAAUAAAACGUAUGCAGGUUCAUAAAUAUAAAGUGCUGUUCUCGCUUAGACCCCAUGAGGUAAUAAAUAUAAAGGAGUUGCUGCCUUCCCAAGUGUUCCGAGCGGAACGCAAACCUAAGCUUAUGGCUAAUUGAUCACCCCCAACUGCAGUUCCCCCCAAAACUAAAUGACACCAAUUCAUUUGAAUGUUUGCCUUUUACUCUCCAGAAUGAGAGCGUGGCUGGCAUCGCUUCAUGAUUACAUUCUGGGAAAGAUCUUGCCUGUUAACCUCUAGAGAAGGAGGGACGAUACAGACAAUGAAGACUAUAGCAGACUGAAUUACUCUCUGAGAUGAGGACUUUGCUAUUGCCAUUGCAGGUAAGAUGUUUUAUGACUCCAUAAUCAGCAAAGAAUCCUGUCAGUAAGGUCUGAUUUCUUCGCAGUGUUCAUUGGAUCUUUUAAGUCUACAAACCAAUGAUACAAAUGCAAUAUGAAACAAUUGCUAGGAAGCUAAUUGGCAUAUUUUACUCACAGCCCAUUUUAUUUUCGCACAGCAGUGUACUUAAGUUUUCUACUUAAUAAUCUCAGUCUGCAUGUCCAAUAUGGCUGCCACCAUACACACAUGGCUGCUUAUAUAUAAAGUAAUUACUGUGAAGUGAAUUGUAAAAUUCAAUUUCUCUGUUGCAGUGCUCACACUGCAAGUUCUCAGUAGCUACCUGAGCCUUUGGGGCACUGUGUUAGGAUCAGGUUUCUAUUAUUCUGCAAAGAGCUAUUGGACAGCUCUUCACAGAGAAGGCUGCACACAGGAAGAGGGAAGAGAGACAGAUGUGACUGCUUUGAGGCAGGCAUGCGAAUUGAUCCAUCCAUGGUUCACUGAAGGCCCCUGGAAAGAGAAUCAGGAAGAGAACUCAGCAA